UACGAAGGGGGCUAGCGUUGCUCGGAAUCACUGGGCGUAAAGCGCACGUAGGCGGCUUUCUAAGUCAGGGGUGAAAUCCUGGAGCUCAACUCCAGAACUGCCUUUGAUACUGGAAAGCUUGAGUUCGGGAGAGGUGAGUGGAAUUGCGAGUGUAGAGGUGAAAUUCGUAGAUAUUCGCAGGAACACCAGUGGCGAAGGCGGCUCACUGGUCCGAUACUGACGCUGAGGUGCGAAAGCGUGGGGAGCAAACAGG
rnacentral:rRNA from 1 species